rnacentral:rRNA from 1 species
ACGUAGGAUCCAAGCGUUAUCCGGAUUUACUGGGCGUAAAGCGCACGUAGGCGGCUUUGUAAGUUAGAGGUGAAAGCCCGGAGCUCAACUCCGGAACUGCCUUUAAGACUGCAUCGCUCGAACGUCGGAGAGGUAAGUGGAAUUCCGAGUGUAGAGGUGAAAUUCGUAGAUAUUCGGAAGAACACCAGUGGCGAAGGCGACUUACUGGACGACUGUUGACGCUGAGGUGCGAAAGCGUGGGGAGCAAACAGGA